CCUACGGGAGGCAGCAGUGGGGAAUAUUGGGCAAUGGAGGCAACUCUGACCCAGCAACGCCGCGUGAAUGAUGAAGGUCUUCGGAUGGUAAAGUUCUGUGAUGGGGGAGGAACACAAUGACGGUACCCCAAUAGCAAGCCACGGCUAACUACGUGCCAGCAGCCGCGGUAAUACGUAGGUGGCAAGCGUUAUCCGGAAUGACUGGGCGUAAAGGGUGCGUAGGGGGUUUAGUAAGUUGGCGGUGUAAUUCCGGGGCUCAACCUCGGCGCUACCGCCAAAACUAUUAGACUAGAGUGCAGGUGUGGUCAGUGGCAUUCCUCGUGUAGCGGUGUACUGCGUAGAUAUUAGGUGGCAC
rnacentral:rRNA from 1 species